AGUGAACGCUGGCGGCGUGCUUAACACAUGCAAGUCGAACGAGAACGGAAUAUAGCUUGCUAUAGUUGUCAGCUAAGUGGCGCACGGGUGAGUAAUGUAUAGAUAACCUGCACUUAAGAAAGGAAUAACAGAUGGAAACGACUGAUAAUGCCCUUUAUGCCUUUAAUACAUAAGUAUGCAAGUGAAACGCUUUAGUGCUUAAGGAUGGGUCUGUAUGGUAUCAGCUCGUUGGUGAGGUAAUGGCUCACUAAGGCUAUGACGCCUAACUGGUUUGAGAGGAUGAUCAGUCACACUGGAACUGAGACACGGUCCAGACUCCUACGGGAGGCAGCAGUGGGGAAUAUUGCACAAUGGACGAAAGUCUGAUGCAGCAACGCCGCGUGGAGGAUGACACAUUUCGGUGCGUAAACUCCUUUUAUAUAGGAAGAUAAUGACGGUACUAUAUGAAUAAGCACCGGCUAACUCCGUGCCAGCCGCCGCAGUAA
rnacentral:rRNA from 1 species